AGAGUUUGAUCCUGGCUCAGGACGAACGCUGGCGGCGUGCUUAACACAUGCAAGUCACGGGGGUCCGCAAGGGCAACCGGCGAACGGGUGCGUAACACGUGAGCGACCUGCCUGAGUGAGGGGGAUAGCCGGCCCAACGGCCGGGUAAUACCGCAUACGCUCAUCGAGAGGCAUCUCUUGGUGAGGAAACCUCCGGGGCACUCAGAGGGGCUCGCGGCCUAUCAGCUAGUUGGCGGGGUAAUGGCCCACCAAGGCGAUGACGGGUAGCUGGUCUGAGAGGAUGGCCAGCCACAUUGGGACUGAGAGACGGCCCAGACUCCUACGGGAGGCAGCAGUGGGGAAUCUUGCGCAAUGGCCGAAAGGCUGACGCAGCGACGCCGCGUGUGGGAGGAAGCUCUUCGGGGUGUAAACCACUGUUGCCCGGGACGAACGAGCAGCUUUUGCUGCUGUGACGGUACCGGGUGAGGAAGCACCGGCUAACUCUGUGCCAGCAGCCGCGGUAAUACAGAGGGUGCGAGCGUUGUCCGGAAUCACUGGGCGUAAAGGGCGCGUAGGCGGCUCGGUAAGGUUGCGGUGAAAGCCCGGGGCUCAACCCCGGGUCGGCCGUGGCAACUGCUGGGCUGGAUCAC
rnacentral:rRNA from 1 species